rnacentral:lncRNA from 1 species
UCAGCAGAGUGACUGUGUUCGGCAGCCCGGUACCACCUCACCAUUCUUCUGUCCCCAGGCCGAAGCAGUAUGGAGAGCGAACAGAGAGUUUCCCGCAAAGGCCGCAAGCUGGGCUCCAGCCGCCGGCGGCAGAUGAGAGAAGCAGCCGAUAGCCUGGAUGCUGCUGCGGCCCCAGAGCCAGAGUCCUGGUCCUCCCAGGCAGCUGCCGAAUUGCAAGCCUUCUUCCAGGACUGUGGUGCCAAGGAGAGGGGCUUUGUCACCCGCGAGGACCUGGCGGUGAGUCCAAGUCCCUAGCUCAUCCCCUGAAUCCCC